AAAAUCCGUCGACUUUAGAAAUCGUGAGGGUUCAAGUCCCUCUAUCCCCCCAAAAAGACCGAUUUGACUAUUUUUCCUACCCUCUCUUUUUUUUAGUGGUUCAAAAUUCGUUCUCUUUCUCAUUCAUUCUACCUUUUUACAAACGUAUCAGAGCAGAAUUUUUUUUUCUUUUAUCACAAUCACAAGUGGUGUGGUAUAUAUGAUAUACGUACAAAUGAACAUCUUUGAACAAAGAAUCCCGAUUCACAAUUCAUAUCAUUGCUCAUACUGAAACUUAUAAAUUAUUCUAUUCAAGAAAUCGAAUUCCACGCUCAAGACUUUUAAUACUUUUUUAUCUUUUUAAAUUGACAUAGACCCCAGUCAUCUAGUAAAAUGAGGAUGAUGCGCCGGUAAUGGUCGGGAUAGCUCAGCUGGUAGAGCAGAGGACUGAAAAUCCUCGUGUCACCAGUUCAAUAUC
rnacentral:tRNA from 1 species